rnacentral:rRNA from 1 species
AGCUCUUGAAACUGGGAGACUUGAGUGCAGGAGAGGAGAGUGGAAUUCCUAGUGUAGCGGUGAAAUGCGUAGAUAUUAGGAGGAACCCCAGUUGCGAAGGCGGCUCUCUGGACUGUAACUGACGCUGAGGCACGAAAGCGUGGGGAGCAAACAGGAUUAGAUACCCUGGUAGUCCACGCUGUAAACGAUGAGUACUAGGUGUCGGGGGUUACCCCCUUCGGUGCCGCAGCUA